rnacentral:rRNA from 1 species
AUUGAACGCUGGCGGCAGGCCUAACACAUGCAAGUCGAGCGAGCGGCGGACGGGUGAGUAAUGUAUGGGGACUGCCCGAUAGAGGGGGAUAACUACUGGAAACGGUGGCUAAUACCGCAUACUAUCGGAUAACCCAUAUGGGAUUAGCUAGUAGGUGGGGUAAAGGCUCACCUAGGCGACGAUCUCUAGCUGGUCUGAGAGGAUGAGCCGCAGAACUGGGACUGAGAGACGGCCCAACGUCCUAGGGAGGCAGCGGUGGGGAAUAUUGCACAAUGGGCGAAAGCCUGAAGCAGCCAUGCCGCGAGUAUGAAGAAGGCCUUAGGGUUGUAAGGUACUUUCAGCGGGGAGGCGUUACCUGCAGAAGAAGCACCGGCUAACUCCGUGCCAGCAGCCGCGGUAAUAC